rnacentral:ncRNA from 1 species
GUUUCAGGGCGGAGUGAAAUUCUCCACUGGCGGUAUAGUCCGCGAACUUCAGAUAUGUAAUCUGAAGCCGAUUUGGUGCAAUUCCAAAACCAACGGUUAAAGUCCGGAUGAAAGAAA